AAAAAUUAAUUUCCUUUUUUUUUUGCUUGUUUUUUCUGCCAUUUCUUCUUCUUCUUUCUUUAUCCUCCCUCAACUGGUUUUGCUGCCUCUGUCGCCAAUGGUGGUUGGCCUCCUUUUCGGACUGGAAAUGGCACAGGAGUGUAGCUCUCCGUUUACUCAUUCAAUUGCUCAAAUUAGAUUUCUCAAAAAACUUUUCAAAAGUCAUAAAAGUGUCUUUAAACUUUCAAACUUCUCUAGCUUGAUCUAAAGAUCCGACCAUCCAAUCAUAGUGUAACUUUGACAACAACUUCCUUUUGAUAUGACAAACCUCUUCACUAUUCAGCACUCCCAAAUAGUUUCCAAAAAUCUCCACAUAGAUUUUUAUUUUGGCUUUUGAUUCUCUCUCUUUUUUUUUUUUUUUUCUAUUCUCAAAAAUAUUCUGCAAAGAAAACAUUUUGGUCUUUAAAAACCAUUAAGAAGAAAAUGUUAUUCUGGUAAUUGAUAUUCUAGUUUUCUUGGUCCGUUUUCGCGUGAUUUGGGUCCAUGCAAUGGAUUUUCCAGUGGAUGAUUGAGGAAGGUGAAGAGAAACCUGGGCGAAAGGAAGAAGAAGUAAUAGCUUGUGAGGGAAUCGAGCAUUGGGCUUAAAAUCACUCGAUUUUUCAAUUUGUAUCAGAUGAUAUUCAAACCCAGAAAUAAGUUUUGAAAUGUCUAAAAAUCAAACCCAAAUAUUUGUUUUGAA